UACGGAGGGGGCUAGCGUUGUUCGGAAUUACUGGGCGUAAAGCGCACGUAGGCGGCUUUGUAAGUUAGAGGUGAAAGCCCAGAGCUUAACUCUGGAAUUGCCUUUAAGACUGCAUCGCUAGAAUCGUGGAGAGGUGAGUGGAAUUCCGAGUGUAGAGGUGAAAUUCGUAGAUAUUCGGAAGAACACCAGUGGCGAAGGCGACUCACUGGACACGUAUUGACGCUGAGGUGCGAAAGCGUGGGGAGCAAACAGG
rnacentral:rRNA from 1 species